UUGAUCCCGCCGGACCUGACUGCUAUCGGAUUGAUACUAAGCCAUGCGAGUCAUUGUAGCAAUGCAAGGCAGACGGCUCAGUAACGCGUAGUCAACCUACCCUAUGGACGGGAAUAAUCUCGGGAAACUGAGGAUAAUUCCAGAUAGAACACUAUGCCUGGAACGGUUUGUGUUCCAAAUGAUUUAUCGCCAUAGGAUGGGACUGCGGCCUAUCAGUUUGUUGGUGAGGUAAUGGCCCACCAAGACUAUUACAGGUACGGGCUCUGAGAGGAGUAGCCCGGAGAUGGGUACUGAGACACGGACCCAGGCCCUAUGGGGCGCAGCAGGCGAGAAAACUUUGCAAUGUGCGAAAGCACGACAAGGUUAAUCCGAGUGGUUCCUGCUAAAGGAACCUUUUGACGGUCCUAAAAACACCGUUGAAUAAGGGGUGGGCAAGUUCUGGUGUCAGCCGCCGCGGUAAAACCAGCACCUCAAGUGGUCAGGAUGAUUAUUGGGCCUAAAGCAUCCGUAGCCGGCUCUGUUAGUUUUCGGUUAAAUCUGUACGCUCAACGUACAGGCUGCCGGGAAUACUACAGAGCUAGGGAGUGGGAGAGGUAGACGGUACUUGGUAGGAAGGGGUAAAAUCCUUUGAUCUAUUGAUGACCACCUGUGGCGAAGGCGGUCUACUAGAACACGUCCGACGGUGAGGGAUGAAAGCUGGGGGAGCAAACCGGAUUAGAUACCCGGGUAGUCCCAGCUGUAAACCAUGCAAACUCAAUGAUGCACUGGCUUGAAGCCAAUGCAGUGUUGCAGGGAAGCCGUUAAGUUUGCCGCCUGGGAAGUACGUACGCAAGUAUGAAACUUAAAGGAAUUGGCGGGGGAGCACCACAAGGGGUGAAGCCUGCGGUUCGCGGUUCAAU
rnacentral:rRNA from 1 species